CGAGGGUGCUAGCGUUAUUCGGAAUUACUGGGCGUAAAGCGCAUGCAGGUGGAAUAUCAAGUCAGGUGUGAAAUCCCGGAGCUUAACUUCGGAACUGCAUUUGAAACUGAUAUUCUUGAGUUUGGAAGAGGGAAGCGGAAUUCCAGGUGUAGAGGUGAAAUUCGUAGAUAUCUGGAGGAACAUCGGAGGCGAAGGCGGCUUCCUGGUCCAAUACUGACACUCAGAUGCGAAAGCGUGGGGAGCAAACAGGAUUAGAUACCCGAGUAGUCC
rnacentral:rRNA from 1 species